rnacentral:rRNA from 1 species
GACGAACGCUGGCGGCGUGCCUAAUACAUGCAAGUCGAACGAGAGCGACCGGUGCUUGCACUGGUCAAUCUAGUGGCGAACGGGUGAGUAACACGUGGGUAACCUGCCCAUCAGAGGGGGAUAACAUCCGGAAACGGAUGCUAAAACCGCAUAGGUCUUCGAACCGCAUGGUUUGAAGAGGAAAAGAGGCGCAAGCUUCUGCUGAUGGAUGGACCCGCGGUGCAUUAGCUAGUUGGUGAGGUAACGGCUCACCAAGGCCGUGAUGCAUAGCCGACCUGAGAGGGUGAUCGGCCACAUUGGGACUGAGACACGGCCCAAACUCCUACGGGAGGCAGCAGUAGGGAAUCUUCCGCAAUGGACGCAAGUCUGACGGAGCAACGCCGCGUGAGUGAAGAAGGUUUUCGGAUCGUAAAACUCUGUUGUUAGAGAAGAACAAGUGCUAGAGUAACUGUUAGCGCCUUGACGGUAUCUAACCAGAAAGCCACGGCUGACUACGUG